rnacentral:sRNA from 1 species
GCUGGGUGUGGUGGUGCAUGCCUCUAAUCCCAGCAGCUAGGGAGGCUGAGGCAGGAAGAUCUUCUGUUCAAAGCCAGUCUCUGCAAAAGUGAGGUGCUAAGUAACUCAGUGAGACCCUGUCUCUA